GACGAAGGAUGCAAGCGCUAUCCGGAUUCAUUGGGUUUAAAGGGAGCGUAGGUGGCCUUAUAAGUCAGUGGUGAAAUCUCUGGGCUUAACCCAGAAAUUGCCAUUGAUACUGUAGGGCUUGAGUAUAGAUGCCGUUGGCGGAAUAUGACAUGUAGUGGUGAAAUACAUAGAGAUGUCAUAGAACACCGAUUGCGAAGGCAGCUAACGAAACUAUAACUGACACUGAGGCUCGAAAGUGUGGGGAUCAAACAGG
rnacentral:rRNA from 1 species